UAUUUCAGGUGAUUUUAACAAGUGUACCACUCACUUCUGUGAUAUUCACAUUCGAUUCAUGGCCUUGGGGACAAACAGUGUGUAAAUUAUCGGAGACCAUCAAGGAUAUUUCUGUUGGUGUCUCCGUUUUCACUCUCUCCGCGUUAUCAGCCGAAAGGUAAGUUGUCAAACCCAGUUACGGUUGAGGAAAUUGUUGUCGACUCUUUAAUCAGUAAUCGAAAUAAAAUCUCAAACGUAGGUACUACGCGGUAGCAAACCCCAUACGCCGCCACGUAGCCGGAAUGAAAGCAGUUUCAUUGGCUAUACUAAUAUCCUGCUUCAUUUGGGUGCUGGCGGUGGUUUUGUCGAUGCCAGCUGCUCUGUUCUCCAGCGUGAUGAAUGUGAACACAACAUCGAACUCUACUGUCUACAUUUGUAAUCCUUUCCCUGUGGAAUUGGGGGCAAGCUAUAGACGAGGGAUGGUGCUUUUUAAGUUCCUGGCCUAUUACAUAAUACCUUUAUUCAUCAUAGCAACAUAUUAUUUUCAAAUUGUACGACACCUUCGGCAAUCCACCAGAAAUAUGCCAUGCGACUUAUCUGUAAUUCAACGGCUAGAGCAAAUUCGUUCACGCAGAAAGGUAGAGUGAAUCGAUAUUAUUAUGAAAUUAUACAAUUUUCAAGUAAAUCUAAUUUUGACACAAAUUUUGACAUUAUUUCUCUUGGCGACGUUUUCUUCCAACUAAUCUCCAUUUAUCUUUCUGAUAAAAAAGACUUCUGUGAAAGAAGUUAAAUAUCGAACUUGAGAAUUUAUUUAACGUAAUAUUUCAAAAGUUGAGGCAAAGGCGUAUUAUCUAACGACAACGGUGUCGAGACGUUGAAAGCAUAUUUACAGGAUCAAUUAAGCGAUGACUAAAUCUGCUAAGGUCGCGGUCGAUCUGAGACAGAUACCUGCGAAAUCUUAUUAUAGAUAUUGUAGUAUCGGGAAAAAGGGAUAGGAUUAGGAUAAUUUAGAUUUGUAAAAUUCUCCUAAUACUAUUUAUUUAAGAUAAGUAAAAAUAACAGAGAUUAAUUGGACAGAGAACGAUAAAUGUUCAACUUGAACUAAAACACAAAAGUCUUAUUCUACUCAAAUCACUCUCGCAACUCUAUAACGCAACAACUCGAUCUCUCUACAACGCUAGCAACUCUUUUUUUACUGUCUUACUAAAAAAUAUUCUAAUCUAGGUUUCUAAUAAUUAAAUUUUAACUAAUUAGACCAAGUACCAAGUUAGUUGUCCCAGUUUAAUACGUAUCUUUCGUUCUCUGUGAUCAACAGGUUGGAAAAAUGGUCAUUUCGAUCGUUUUAAUUUUCUUUAUCUGCUUCCUGCCCUACCAUAUGUUCAUGAUUUGGUUCCACUUCUUCGCUUCGAAUAUGAAGGAUUAUAACAACUACUGGCAUAUCUUCAGAAUUACUGCGUUUUGUAUGACUUUCAUAAAUAGCUGCGUGAACCCCCUUGUUUUAUACUGUGCCAGUACAUCAUUUCGCGUGAGGUGAGUAUGACAAGAUAAGCGACCUAUCAAAUGUCAGCUAUUAAACCUAAAACAUUGUAAAACGAAAUAACAAGUCGAAGCACACAUUCUCCUUAAAAUACUAUAUAUAGAAUGGAAAUGUUUAUGCAAAUUUAUGUUCUUACGAACACAAUUAGAAAAAUGGAACCUAAACAGAAUUUUGUUCCACUCCCCUUCUAUCUUUUUCCAUGUUAUUUAAAUAUUUUGAAAUGCAUAAAUAUCAGCAUUCUAAUUAUUAUAUUACAUUCUGUACUACAUGUUGCAUGAAAUGAUAACAUAUCCAUACUCAUUUCACUACCUCUACAUCAUAACUGACUAAAGAAACAACAAAGCAGUAUAAACGAGUACACGUCUGUAAACAAACAGGUUUGUAAACCGAAAACUCAAAAAAGCAAACAAACAAUUGAAAAACAAACAGAAAGCUUUUCAUAUCUGAAUAUAAAGUUUCGUACUGACCGAUGAACAACGUUUUGCUUACAGAUUCAAUAGAUAUCUUUGUUGUUUUUUGAGAAAAAGGAGAUCAAGCAUUUGUCAGGCCGGAACAAGCAGCGAUGGACGAACAACACUUUCACAAAGGAACCGAAUGGUUAGACGAAGUAGAUUUAGGGAAACCAGUUUCAGUACGACAUCCCGGAGAAAUACGCAAGAAUUGAACGCAACUGCCCCUCACGAAGAGACAAGACUCUAGACCUAAGACUUUAGAUAAUUCAUUACUUAGAUACAUUAGAUACUUACAUUUACAUUAGAUAAUUCAUUACUUAGAUACAUUAGAUACUUACAUUUACAUUA